CUCCCUGAGAUUACUCUGGUGAGAGAACAAUGAAAACAUCCAUUAUUUAGGACUCCAUUUGUAAUUCUAUUGUGAGCACAAUAUCUGGAUUACAAGUGUCAGGACAUGUGAAAAUAUUGACUGAGGCACUAUGUGCUGGGAGCUGUAGCUUUGUAAAUUUAAAGUUAGGAAAUCCAAAUACAGUAUCACUUAUUGACAGGCAAUAAAGACCCCAAAGAAAGCAUCCACACAAAGAGUUAAAAGUUCAGAAUAGAAGGGAUAAUGGGACACUAAUUAAGAUUGUUCUUCACAGCUGGAAAUUAGCCACUGUUCAACUACCAAAGCCUCUCAGGACUGAAUGCUCUGUUCUAGAAGCAGUUAGGCAGCAAAAUGGAUAGAGCCCUAGACCUGGAGUGAGGAAAACCCAGAUUCGAAUCUAGCUUCAGAUACUUAGGAGCUAUGUGACCCUGUGUAAGUCACUUUAACCACAAAAUGGAGAUAAUAACAUCUUCCUUCCAGGAUUAUUGUGAAUAUUAUCUGAGAUAAUAUUUAUAAAGCACCUGGCACACAAUACUUACGGGAAGCUCUUUGUCUUAUGGGGGUAUUGUUGGCUUUUAAUUUUUAACCUCAGCAGUGGCAGCAAUAGACUUCAAAUGGAGUGGGGAAAGCAGCCUGCUCAUCAAGAAGGGCUGCAAGGGCUCUCCUGAGCCUCAGGGGGCACUAGCAAAAACCUGCUCCAGGCACCAAUCAUCUCAAUGACUUGCAAAAUCCAAUGGAACUAGCAAGCAACUGACCUACCAUAACUGAAGCAUUCCCCACAAUGAGCUCACUGGGGAGACUUCCACCAGGAAGUGACUCUUUGUACUGUGAUGCCAUCUAAGUAUGGACUCCUUUGCAGGAAGGAACUGUCAAAGCAGCAAAAUCAAGCUGUUUCUCUCUGCCCAGGGAAGUUUAUAGAUAGAAACAAGGAGGGAAGGGAACCGAUUGAUCGAUUGCCUUAUUCGGUCUCACAAAAGCGAGUUAAAAAUCUGGCACUAAAUCUCGGUCCUUGCUUCAGCCUCCGACUCUGGCCCAGUUGCCUCCAAUCUCCUCCUUCUCAAGAAGCAUUUCUUCUCAGCUGACAAUUGCUGGGCCAGCUUCUCUGAACAAAUCUUCCGUUUUCUAGAAGACUGCAACCACUGAGAAACUUGAGGAAUGACCGAGGACAGGGGCAACUUUUUAAAGGUCAAGAAAACCUUCACCUUACACACACAUCGCCAGUAAAUUAUACUCAAUGUAAUCAUUAGAUGUUUCACUCUUCUUGCUUCAGAAUAAACAAAGCAGGAGCUUCUGCCUGUCCUGUAUG
rnacentral:lncRNA from 1 species